UUACAAUUUUUAGACAAUUAAAGCUGGUUAAAGGAACUUUUAUUUUGGAAAAAGAACUGCUGCUGUUUCAAGACAUGCGCACUAGCUGCGACAUCUAGUGACGACAUUUACCGGGCUUUAACGGUUGUUGCUGCAUGAAGUCUGCUGCAAUUUCUCUGAGAUUUCUCAAGAUCAUCAGUUUGGACAGAAUUCAUUUGAAGAAUUAAUAGCACUAGCAGGUUCCAAUAAAGGCUGGAACAGAACAGACAGAAAAGAAUCUGUUCAGAAAAAGUACUGUUCGUGCACCAGAUGGUGAAGUAGAAAAGUUCAUAAAAACUUCUGCAGCUUGCAUCUGACAGAGAUGCAAAAAGAAGAAGAGAGCGGGCCUGAAAACAAGCAAAUUCAAGGUUGUCAAUUCAGCAGAAAAGUUUGCUGUUCUCGCUGUUUACAGACAGGAGGUAAGCGCAUGUGAACACGCAGAUGACCUAUGGUGUCUGCGUAAGGGCUGGGCAAAAAAAAUCGAUUUUCCGAUUAAUCGUUUUUUAAAACGUGGUCUAAUAAAAAUCGAUUCUCAAAGAGCAGAAUAGAUUUUUUUCUUUCAUAUUUAUUUCCACAAACAUUGAACGUAAGAUUAACUUUAAUCUAAUUACUAGUCUUCUUCAACGUUAGUGUUGUGGCUUUUAAUUUUUUUAUUAAUUACACACUUGUAAACUGCUGUUCACUGUUCUUUUUUAUUAAUAUAGUAUUUGUAUUAAAUCUAUAUUCAUUGAGUUGAAUCGAGAAUCAAGUAUAAAAACCUACCGGAGAACCAGAAUCGAAAAUUGAAUCGUGAAUCGGAAUCGAAUCGAUUUGAUAGCUUGUGAAGCGAAAUCGAAUCGAUCUGGAACAUCUGAAUCGAUACCCAGCCCUAGUCUGCAUGGACUCGCUGCGCGGUGGGCAGUCAAAUUAUGCUUACGUAUGAGGGACAAGAAAAGGAAACGUCCAUUCGGACCGAAAUUUAUGAUUGGUUGAACAUUUUUUGGUCCUACGCCUUUCACAGAUGACAUAAAUUCUACAAAUACAUUUAAACAACUUAACACAGUGAUUGCUAUCAGGAUGUGAGGAGACUUUUAACCAGCAUAACUAAAAAUCUUUCAGGAUCAAAUCUGUUACCCUACCUUUAAAACAACAUGAGGAUGAGUAAAUGAUGACAGAUUUUUUAUUUUAGGGUGAACUAUUCCUUUAACAUUUACCCAAGUUAACAUUAAUGCAUUCAGUCUAUCUGAUGAAGUAACCAUGAGUCAUUUUCUGUUCCCCUUUUAUCUCUUUUCUCUCAAUCUUUCCUUCUUUUAGGGUACACUUGAGGAGUGUCCAGAUGUUUAUUAAUGUUUUAUUAAUGUAAUGUUAUGUUUCAAAUAAACAUGUAAACAUACUGUA